GUUAGCAAUGCAAGUCGAACGGUGAAGCAGAGCUUGCUCUGUGGAUCAGUGGCGAACGGGUGAGUAACACGUGAGCAACCUGCCCCGGACUCUGGGAUAAGCGCUGGAAACGGCGUCUAAUACUGGAUAUGAGCUGCGACCGCAUGGUCAGCAGUUGGAAAGAUUUUUCGGUCUGGGAUGGGCUCACGGCCUAUCAGCUUGUUGGUGAGGUAAUGGCUCACCAAGGCGUCGACGGGUAGCCGGCCUGAGAGGGUGACCGGCCACACUGGGACUGAGACACGGCCCAGACUCCUACGGGAGGCAGCAGUGGGGAAUAUUGCACAAUGGGCGAAAGCCUGAUGCAGCAACGCCGCGUGAGGGAUGACGGCCUUCGGGUUGUAAACCUCUUUUAGCAGGGAAGAAGCGAAAGUGACGGUACCUGCAGAAAAAGCGCCGGCUAACUACGUGCCAGCAGCCGCGGUAAUACGUAGGGCGCAAGCGUUAUCCGGAAUUAUUGGGCGUAAAGAGCUCGUAGGCGGUUUGUCGCGUCUGCUGUGAAAUCCCGAGGCUCAACCUCGGGCCUGCAGUGGGUACGGGCAGACUAGAGUGCGGUAGGGGAGAUUGGAAUUCCUGGUGUAGCGGUGGAAUGCGCAGAUAUCAGGAGGAACACCGAUGGCGAAGGCAGAUCUCUGGGCCGUAACUGACGCUGAGGAGCGAAAGGGUGGGGAGCAAACAGGCUUAGAUACCCUGGUAGUCCACCCCGUAAACGUUGGGAACUAGUUGUGGGGUCCAUUCCACGGAUUCCGUGACGCAGCUAACGCAUUAAGUUCCCCGCCUGGGGAGUACGGCCGCAAGGCUAAAACUCAAAGGAAUUGACGGGGACCCGCACAAGCGGCGGAGCAUGCGGAUUAAUUCGAUGCAACGCGAAGAACCUUACCAAGGCUUGACAUAUACGAGAACGGGCCAGAAAUGGUCAACUCUUUGGACACUCGUAAACAGGUGGUGCAUGGUUGUCGUCAGCUCGUGUCGUGAGAUGUUGGGUUAAGUCCCGCACGAGCGCAACCCUCGUUCUAUGUUGCCAGCACGUAAUGGUGGGAACUCAUGGGAUACUGCCGGGUCACUCGGAGAAAGGUGGGAUGACGUCAAUCUCAUGCCCCUUAGUCUG
rnacentral:rRNA from 1 species